AAACAAAAAGGUUUGUUCCUGGCCUUUCUAUUAACUCUCAGUAAGAUUACACAUGCAAGCAUCCCCACGCCAGUGAAAAUACCCUCUAGAUCAUCCAGAUCAAAAGGAACAAGUUUCAAGCACGCACAAAUGCAGCUCAAAACGCUUUACUCAACCACACCCCCACGGGAAACAGCAAUGAUAAAUCGUUGGCAAUAAACGAAAGUUUAAGCUACACUGAUAUUUAGCGUUGGUCAAUUUUGUGCCAGCCACCGCGGCCAUAUGAUUAGCCCAAGCUAAUAGAACUCAGUGUAAAGAGUGUUUAAGGUUUGCCUUCAAUAAAGCUAAACUCCAUCUAAGUUGUGAAAAAUUCCAGCUGAAAUAAAAUAUACUACGAAAGUGCCUUUAAUAUCCUCAAGACACAAUAGCUAAGAUCCAGACUGGGAUUAGAUACCCCACUAUGCUUAGCCCUAAGCUCUAAUAAUUAAACUAACGAAACCAUUCGCCAGAAUACUACAGGCAACAGCUUAAAACUCAAAGGACUUGGCGGUGCUUUAUAUCCCUGUAGAGGAGCCUGUUCUAUAAUCGAUAAACCCCUAUAUACCUCACCACCUCUUGCCCCCAGCCUAUACACCGCAAUCUUCAGUAAACCCUAAAAAGGUAAUAAAGUAAGCACAAGUACAUGCAUAAAAAUUAGGUCAAGGUUAGCCAUGAGGUGCAGAAUGGGCUACAUUUCUAUACCUGAGAAAAUUUACGACACCCUUAUGAACUAAGGCCAAGGAGUUUUAGAGUAAACCAAGAGCGGGUUUGUUGAUAAGGCCAUGAAGCACGCACACACCGAACAUCGCGUCCUCUAAUGGUCUAAAAAUAUUAAGUCUAAACUCUCCCGCACAUUCAGAGGAAUAAGUCAGUAACAUGGUAAGCAUACUGGAAAAGUCGCUUGGACAACAAAGUGU
rnacentral:ncRNA from 1 species